rnacentral:misc_RNA from 1 species
CAUGGAAGUUGGGGGUACCUGAAGUCAGUAACCGCAAGGAACUGCCUAGGGUAAAACGAAUAACUAGGGCUAAGUCGUAACAAGGUAGCCGUACCGGAAGGUGUGGCUGGAAUAUCUCUUUUUUUGAGUAAAUUCUUUUGUUUGGUUUCUAAUUCUAUCUUCUUUUUUACUUUUUUCCCUUUAGAGUCUCGUAGCUCAGCUGGUUAGAGCGCUACACUGAUAAUGUAGAGGUCGGCAGUUCGAGUCUGCCCGAGACUACAUUAAAAAAGGGGGGAUUAGCUCAGUUGGUUAGAGCGCCUGCUUUGCAAGCAGGAGGCCAUCGGUUCGAAUCCGAUAUUCUCCACAAAAAAGUUCUUUGACAUAUUGUAAUGAAUAUAUAUACUUAAUAUUUAAAAGUUAUUAAGGGCGUAUGGCGGAUGCCUUGGCUCUCAUUGGCGAUGAAGGACGUGACAAGCUGCGAUAAGUUUCGAUUAGGUGCAAAUAACCUUUGAAUCGAAAAUUU